rnacentral:rRNA from 1 species
UCAGGUAGAGAAUACCAAGGCGCUUGAGAGAACUCGGGUGAAGGAACUAGGCAAAAUGGUGCCGUAACUUCGGGAGAAGGCACGCUGACACGUAGGUGAAGUGAUUUACUCACGGAGCUGAAGUCAGCCGAAGAUACCAGCUGGCUGCAACUGUUUAUUAAAAACACAGCACUGUGCAAACACGAAAGUGGACGUAUACGGUGUGACGCCUGCCCGGUGCCGGAAGGUUAAUUGAUGGGGUCAGCGCAAGCGAAGCUCCUGAUCGAAGCCCCGGUAAACGGCGGCCGUAACUAUAACGGUCCUAAGGUAGCGAAAUUCCUUGUCGGGUAAGUUCCGACCUGCACGAAUGGCGUAAUGAUGGCCAGGCUGUCUCCACCCGAGACUCAGUGAAAUUGAACUCGCUGUGAAGAUGCAGUGUACCCGCGGCAAGACGGAAAGACCCCGUGAACCUUUACUAUAGCUUGACACUGAACAUUGAGCCUUGAUGUGUAGGAUAGGUGGGAGGCUUUGAAGUGUGGACGCCAGUCUGCAUGGAGCCGACCUUGAAAUACCACCCUUUAAUGUUUGAUGUUCUAACGUGGACCCGUGAUCCGGGUUGCGGACAGUGUCUGGUGGGUAGUUUGACUGGGGCGGUCUCCUCCUAAAGAGUAACGGAGGAGCACGAAGGUUGGCUAAUCCUGGUCGGACAUCAGGAGGUUAGUGCAAUGGCAUAAGCCAGCUUGACUGCGAGCGUGACGGCGCGAGCAGGUGCGAAAGCAGGUCAUAGUGAUCCGGUGGUUCUGAAUGGAAGGGCCAUCGCUCAACGGAUAAAAGGUACUCCGGGGAUAACAGGCUGAUACCGCCCAAGAGUUCAUAUCGACGGCGGUGUUUGGCACCUCGAUGUCGGCUCAUCACAUCCUGGGGCUGAAGUAGGUCCCAAGGGUAUGGCUGUUCGCCAUUUAAAGUGGUACGCGAGCUGGGUUUAGAACGUCGUGAGACAGUUCGGUCCCUAUCUGCCGUGGGCGCUGGAGAACUGAGGGGGGCUGCUCCUAGUACGAGAGGACCGGAGUGGACGCAUCACUGGUGUUCGGGUUGUCAUGCCAAUGGCACUGCCCGGUAGCUAAAUGCGGAAGAGAUAAGUGCUGAAAGCAUCUAAGCACGAAACUUGCCCCGAGAUGAGUUCUCCCUGAGACUUUAGGUCUCCUGAAGGAACGUUGAAGACGACGACGUUGAUAGGCCGGGUGUGUAAGCGCAGCGAUGCGUUGAGCUAACCGGUACUAAUGAACCGUGAGGCUUAACCUUACAACGCCGAAG